AAUAAGUGUAGUUUUGCACUAUUCAUCUCUAACAUUUAACCGUUCGUCUUAUUUGAAAAUUUUUUAUGAUUACUAUUUUUAUUGUUAUUAGAUAAUGAAACAUGAAUAGUACUUUAUGUGUGACUAUUUUUUAAAAAAAAUUCAUAAAUUUUUCAAAUAAGGUGGACGGUCAAACGUUGGACACAGAUUUUCACGACUGUACUUAUU
rfam:Oryza meridionalis cultivar OR44 (W2112) chromosome 1, whole genome shotgun sequence.